rnacentral:rRNA from 14 species
AGAGCUAAUCUCUAAAAACUGUCUCAGUUCGGAUUGUCGUCUGCAACUCGACGGCAUGAAGUCGGAAUCGCUAGUAAUCGCGUAACAGCAUGACGCGGUGAAUACGUUCCCGGGCCUUGUACACACCGCCCGUCACACCAUGGGAGUUGGGUUUACCCGAAGACGGUGCGCCGACCUGUUCGCAGGGGGCAGCUGGCCACGGUAAGCUCAGCGACUGGGGUGAAGUCGUAACAAGGUAGCCGUAGGGGAACCUGCGGCUGGAUCACCUCCUU